GACGAACGCUGGCGGCGUGCUUAACACAUGCAAGUCGAGCGGUAAGGCCUCUUCGGGGGUACACGAGCGGCGAACGGGUGCGUAACACGUGGGUGACCUGCCCUCAGCUCUGUGAUAAGCCUGGGAAACUGGGUCUAAUACCGGUAAUGACCUUUCCUCGCAUGGGGUUUGGUGGAAAGUUUUUUCGGCUGGGGAUGGGCCCGCGGCCUAUCAGCGUGUUGGUGGGGUGAUGGCCUACCAAGGCGACGACGGGUAGCCGGCCUGCGAGGGCGACCGGCCACACUGGGAGUGAGACACGGCUCAGAAUCCUACGGGAGGCAGCGGUGGGGAAUAUUGCGCAAUGGGCGGAAGUCUGACGCAGCGACGCCGCGUGGGGGAUGACGGCCUUGGGGGUGUAAACCUCUUUCGACCCCGACGAAUUUGGACGGUAGGGGUAGAAGAAGCACCGGCCAACUACGUG
rnacentral:rRNA from 1 species